rnacentral:rRNA from 1 species
GAUAAACGCUGGCGGCGUGCUUAACACAUGCAAGUCGAACGAAGUUUUUCUUUCGGGAGGAACUUAGUGGCGGACGGGUGAGUAACGCGUGGGUAACCUGCCCUGUACAGGGGGACAACAGCUGGAAACGGCUGCUAAUACCGCAUAAGCCCUUAGCACUGCAUGGUGCAUAGGGAAAAGGAGCAAUCCGGUACAGGAUGGACCCGCGUCUGAUUAGCCAGUUGGCAGGGUAAUGGCCUACCAAAGCGACGAUGGGUAGCCGACCUGAGAGGGUGUACGGCCACAGUGGGACUGAGCUACGGCCCAGACUACUACGGGAGGCAGCAGUGGGGAAUAUUGCACAAAGGGCGGAAGUCUGAUGCAGCAACGCCGCGUGCGGGAUGAAGACCUUCGGGUUGUAAACCGCUUUCGCCUGUGACGAAGCGUGAGUGACGGUAAUGGGUAAAGAAGCACCGGCUAACUACGUG